rnacentral:rRNA from 1 species
UGUAAGCGUAUACCAAAGUUGUUGCAGUUAAAACGCUCGUAGUCGGAAUUUGGCAGUUCCGGUUGUGUGCACGUCGUGUGCGCACUUCGCGGGGAUUGCUUUUGUGGUCUUGCGUAGGAUGAGGCACUUUUAUUAGUGAACGUCCUCACGCAACCACUUUUUACUGUGAGAAAAUCAGAGUGCUCAAAGCAGGCAUUUGCCGUGAAUGUAUCAGCAUGGAAUAAUAGAAUAGGACUUGGUUCUAUUUUGUUGGUUUGUUGGGACUGAGUAAUGAUUAAGAGGGACAGUUGGGGGCAUUUGUAUUUCGGUGCUAGAGGUGAAAUUCUUAGAUUACCGAAAGACAAACUGCUGCGAAAGCGUCUGCCAAGGAUGUUUUCAUUGA